rnacentral:rRNA from 1 species
UACGGGGGGGGCAAGCGUUGUUCGGAAUUACUGGGCGUAAAGGGCUCGUAGGCGGCCAACUAAGUCAGACGUGAAAUCCCUCAGCUUAACUGGGGAACUGCGUCUGAUACUGGAUGGCUAGAGUGUGGGAGAGGGAUGCGGAAUUCCAGGUGUAGCGGUGAAAUGCGUAGAUAUCUGGAGGAACACCAAUGGCGAAGGCAGCUCGCUGGGACGGUACUGACGCUGAGACGCGAAAGCGUGGGGAGCAAACAGG